rnacentral:rRNA from 1 species
UAGUAUUAUGCUGUCUUCAAAGAUUAAGCCAUGCAUGUCUCAGUAUAAGCUUCUGUACGGCGAAACUGCGAUGGCUCAAUAAAAACAGUUAUAGUUUAUUUGGUGGUCAACUUCUACAUGAAUAACCGUGGUAAUUUUAGAGCUAAUACAUGCGCCCAAACCCAACUUCUUGGAAGGGUUGUGUUUAUUAGAUACAGAACCAACCCAGGCUCUGCCUGGCCUUGAGGUGAUUCAUAAUAACCGAACGAAUCGCAUGGCUUUGCCGGCGAUAGACCAUUCAAGUUUCUGACCUAUCAGCUAUCGUCGGUAGGGUAUUGGCCUACCGUGGCAAUGACGGGUAACGGAGAAUUAGGGUUCGAUUCCGGAGAGGGAGCCUGAGAAACGGCUACCACAUCUAAGGAAGGCAGCAGGCGCGCAAAUUACCCAAUCCUGACGCAGGGAGGUAGUGACAAGAAAUAACAGUACAGGGCAUAUCUGUCUUGUAAUUGGAAUGAGUAAACUUUAAAUCACUUUGCGAGUAUCAAUU